AAAAAUUCAAAUGUUGGUAAGCUUGGCUAUUUUUCCAUUACCAGCUGUUGCGAAAUGUCAUCCACCGGACUGACGAGAUCACACAAAUUGUGAUAAUAUCGACAAUACUAAUAUUAUUAAUAAUAAUAAUUAAUGCAGUUGAAGACAGCUUCCUGUACAUUUUACUCCUUCGAAGCAGUUAACAGUUAAAUUUAAACAAUGUAAUUAAAUCAUUGUAAAAUAUAGAUAAACAAAUUAUAUAAAACGAGAUAAAAAGGAUCAAGAUAAAAAGGUAAGGAUUGCAGGUAUACAUAAAUGUCAUUGGUGCAUUAUUAAACCAAGAAUACAGAGAUAGUUUAUGGGUUAAGAGUAGUCAGAACUUUCAAAAGAAAACGGUUUUUUGUUUUGCAUUUUCUUAAAGAAUAAUAUCUUAGAAAUAUUCUCCGAAAAUUUGAAGCUUAUUGUACAAAUAGUUCCGGAGAUAUGAGCGUAAGUUGUAAGUUGUUCUUAACUCAGUGUAGUUGGCUUCUCAAACUUAAAAUAAGUUUUUUUUUCAAAACUAUGUAUUUUGUAGUGGUGACCACUGUUGCUUGAAAACCGCUCGGUAAUUUUCAAUGAAAUUGAUUUACAACUUUUUGAAAAUAUGAAAAACAUGUGUCUGAUCGAAAAAAUUUCCUAUGACCGACAGUUUGUAAUUAAAAAAAAGAAUCGGACAGGCACUAGGUUAUCUAUUAAUAAAACUAAUUUUUCUUCGUCCAAUUGAUUUAAAUGAAAAAUUAUUUAAAAUUUUAAUGUUUCUGCCAACACCUAAUAUAUUAAUUGCAAUUGAAUCUUUAAAAUUUAUUUGUUAAUAUUUAAUUGUUCGUGGGCUUAACUCAACCCUGUAUACUUUUAUGGCGUCAUUUCCGUGAAACGCAAAUUAAAACAGUAACUGGCCGAAAUUGUAAGCUCUCGUUCUUGGAUCAAACAAGGAGAAGUAUGAGCGCAAAGAGUAAAAAUUCACAGAUAAUAACGUAAUAAAUAAGUAUAAAGAAUUAAUGAAUUGAUACUAAGUUUGGAAGACACUGUGUACCUAUUUGAUGCAAUUGUUUGGUUUGUGUCUGGACUAACGAGACAUUCGGUAAGGAAUGAUAGCAGCACUGUUUUACCAUCGGAAUAAAACGGAACUACCAAUAUUCGUUACUCUGGCAACUAAUGCUUUGAGAAAUAUUAAGGAUCCAACAAUAGGCCUUGCUUUUAUCGCCAGGCUUUUAAAUGAAGGAUCAUAUCUAGUGUGACAGCUUAAAAAACGUCGAUUUUUGGGAAUAAAAAACAAAAAACUUUUAUAUACUUGUAGUGUUUUGAAAUUUUCAGAGUAUAUUUAUACACAUUUAAGGAAUACACAGCGAAGUUUAAAAAAAUAAAAUUUAUUGAUUUUUUGAGUUAUACGAGAUCUUCGACGGCGCAAAAGAAGCGUGCUUCACUGCUGCAGUGAUUCCGGCCUUCUUCGUGGAUGAAACCUAAAAAUAAAAAAUUCUCGAACACCAGAAGAUAUUCUCCGUACAAAAAAAAUUGUUAAAAAAUAUUAAAAUUUACAAAAUGAUAGCGUUUUAAAAAAAAAUUCAAUUUUACCCCAAAUUUUUGUUGUUUUUAGCCUGCCAAGACUUAAUUUUUCAUCAGAUCAAAAAACCAAUUGGUCAUUAUAGGUAGAAUUAUAUACAAAACAGGCAGAUAAUAAUUUCAUGUGGAUCAGAUCAUUUGUCUUCGAGUUAUCACUGCAGAAAAUUCGAAAAAUGCUGUUUCGAGAAAAACGCGUUUAAGAGGGUCAUCCAUGUGAUAGGCUCAAAAAAUCGAUUUUUUUUUCAUAAAUUGCUUUCUUAACAUGUCUAGAAUACGGUAGUAAAGUGAUUUUUAAAAAUUCGAAGUCAUUUUAAAGACACAGCAGUUAGAAGAAGGAACUGUUCGGAGCGCUGAGUUGGCAGACCUGGAACUUUAAACGCGUUUUUUUUUUAAAUUGUGUGUUUUUACACUUUUCUCCGUCGUAUCUCAAAAAGGUUUGACCGAAUGACUUGAAAUUUGUAGGCAUAUGUAAACGCAUGGAAGGGACUAUUAUCAAUCCAAAAUUAUCAUUAUAUAUUAUAUUAUUUCCAAGUUCAAGACGCCGCUAAUUUUUUUUGUUUCAGAUAAGCCAAUCAGCCGGAGGCGGGGUGUACACAACGCUGUAACUCAUGUUCUAUAUGAUAUUUUUAGCUUCAAAUAUAUAUUUUUACUGUCAAAAUAUAUGUUAAUAAAA